GCAGACAGCCGUUCCAACUCUCUCCUGCACCCUGGCAGAAACUUUUUCCUCCUUUGCUUCACAGAUACUACACAGGACACAGCAGUCAGCUACAACCAUUGAGAUAUAUGUUUUUCACUGAGGUUCAAUCUUGUGAGUAGAUAGUGCCAGUGACCUUUCAAAUGGCUAAAAGCACUUUCAUUUGUCAUUAUGCACCUUCUAAGCCUGUAGUUGAAGUGCUUCUUGUUGCUGUCGAGGUGAACGGUGUACGGCUUCAGAAGCCUAGGGAGGGGGGUAGGCUGGGUCUCCCAGGAUCACUACUGGCAUUUCAACAUCCAGAAUGGUAAUCUGUUGCUCUGGAAAGAAAGGCCCUGCUUGCAGCUUUCCGAACAGCUUUGUGUUCGUAAAGAUGUGAGUGUCAUGCUGUCACACCUCAAUGGUCCUCUCCCUCCCAUAGGUCCCUGGGGAGGGCAAAUCAGUAUGUGGCUAACACUGUUGCAAGCAUCGCAAAGCAUGCUGGGAAGGGUUAAAGGUGUGAGUGAGGAGUGACUGUUUCCUUUGUAGGUUACAAGAGGCUGAGAAGGGGGGCAGAAGAAGAAAAUAGCAAAGAACGAGUUAAUUCAACCCUGGAGUUAGCUUAGUACGAAGUUACGACGCUGGCCUCCACCCAAGAACACUGCUCACAGCCAAGACUUGGCUGACAGUCAAGAAAGAUGGGGGCUUGAAUGUGCCCGAAUGGCCAUAAACUAAGAGAAAACCAAGAU